CGGCGGGAGAGCCCGCCGGAGCGGGCGCCGAAGGAGCAACCUCCCCGGGAAUCUCUCAGGCAUCCGAACCGCCG
rnacentral:ncRNA from 1 species